CAAAGGAAUUGACGGGACCGCACAAGCGGUGGAUGAUGUGGAUUAAUUCGAUGCAACGCGAAAACCUUACCUACCCUCGACAUGUCCGGAAUCCCGAAGAGAUUUGGGAGUGCUCGCAAGAGAACCGGAACACAGGUGCUGCAUGGCUGUCGUCAGCUCGUGUCGUGAGAUGUUGGGUUAGGUCCCGCAACGAGCGCAACCCUUGUCAUUAGUUGCCAUCAUUUGGUUGGGCACUCUAAUGAGACUGCCGGUGACAAACCGGAGGAAGGUGGGGAUGACGUCAAGUCCUCAUGGCCCUUAUGGGUAGGGCUUCACACGUCAUACAAUGGUCGGUACAGAGGGUUGCCAACCCGCGAGGGGGAGCUAAUCCCACAAAGCCGAUCGUAGUCCGGAUCGCAGUCUGCAACUCGACUGCGUGAAGUCGGAAUCGCUAGUAAUCGUGGAUCAGCAUGUCACGGUGAAUACGUUCCCGGGUCUU
rnacentral:rRNA from 1 species